ensembl:lncRNA
AUCUACUUGACUCUAUGUAUGGGAACUGUUGAAUCACAGCCUGAACCUCUGAUUGACCACCUGAGGCAAGCUCUGAAUCAGCUGCAGGGGCACAGGUGAACGCAAUUUCACCUGAGUGACCGGGCCUCCUAGACCCCACUUAAAGGCUGACUCCCAGGGAGGAUGGGUCUCUAUCUGGAGAUUGCUCCUUUUGGAGCCCUUCCAUGAGCCCAGGAUACAGGGCAGUUAUGCAAUGAAACGUUGAUUGUUCACACUGAAAGAGAAGCUUCUAGCAACACCUUUAAUGGAAAAAUACAGAGAAAACACAAAAGACCAUUGAUGAAAAUGAUGACUGCAUGAAUUACAGCCUUCAUGAGAAAGCUGGAGAGAUUUGGUGAUGUCUGUAGCUUCUUGCUACAGAAGCACCUGCCCAGCCUGAGCAUGGAGCAAAGAAUUACAAGACACAAACCUUGAUUCAGACAGUGAUCUUUGUUCAGACCAACAAUCUGUGCAUGUUUCAAGGAAUUUUCCUUGAGCAAGUGUUUUAAAAUUUUAUGGAAUAACACCAUGUACAAUUACUGUGUCCUGGAAGCUGCAGCUUUGGAUGCAGGAUGGAACAUUGCAGAGGUAAGAAAAAUUAUCUCCUCUUACUACUUUUCCCAUGCAGAGUUGUGGUAAGUCUUAUUCCUCUGGCUUUUUAAGAAAUUUCAGAUCUGAAGAAAGACACCAGGGAUGAACAAAUUGGAAUCUGGGUUUUCCUUUGGUUUUGCUAUCCCUUUUUGCUAAAUCCUGUUUUAGAACUGGGAAACAGUGAAUGGGCAAAAAAAGAAAAGAAGCAGAAAGGUAUUAAUUGUCGGUACUGGGAAAAUGUCUGUCAGCUAUUGAAGAGGAAAGGGAGCCCUUUGAAAGCAGGUCUGCCAAAACAGAAGUAGAGUUCAGUACAGAACACUGUAAGGAAAAUUUCUCUUGGGGAACAAGUAAGAAGAGAAAGACAGGAAAGACCUAAUUAAAAGUGAAGGUCUUGCAGUAAAUAAAUGAUUCAACUUGCUUCAAAAGUGUGUAGAAACAUUACUCCAUGAGAAUACCAAGUUAUAGUACAGUAAAAGUCUCUGAUAAAAUAGGUGGGAUAAUUUUUUUUCUUUGUAGAGUAGCACUGAAUUCCUCCUGCUUUAUAUACAGAACAUCAAAGUACAGCUAUGCCUGCCUAAUCAGUAGCAUUAGGAUUCCUGUAGCUUUUUUGCAACAUUCAAAAAAUCCAAUAAAAGUUUAUUAUUUCCAUUUUGGGGAUCUCUUGAGUCUGUACAGUAGGAAAACCCCAUCUCUUUCAUUUCAGAAAUAAUUUUGCACACAGAUAACAAUGUUGAUUCAGUGUCAUAUUAAAGCAUACGAAUAAACCUACUAGCAGGAAAUAAAAUUAAGCCAGCACUUAAAUGUUUUCUUAUAGGUCCUACUGUAAUUUCCUCAGUUUUGGGUGAACAUGUACUCAAUAAGGUGCCCAUCUAAAUCUAAUGGGAUACCCAAGUAUUUUGACGUUCACUCAUCAG